AGAGGAAGAGGACUUCAAACAGAAGACACUGCUUGUAUUAGUAGCAUAUAAGGCUAAAAUCUGUAUCUACUCUGAGUGUAAAGGCAUUUCAUUCUAAGCACUGGAAUUCUAGCUGUCUCUACCAUGAGAAAUUUGUAUGCUGGAAAGAAAAGAGAAGUGGAGGUGGGUAGGAAAAGAAUUAACAUUUUAAAAGAGAUAAUAGACCUGAUUUUGAAAGCCACUGAGAAAUUCUGAGAAAUUACUGGGGCUAAGAGGGGCUGAGAGUGCUCAGAAAUGUUAAAAAUCUGGCAUAGGUAUUGACUUUGCAGUAAUGAGUCAACAUUAUUAGAAAAGUAGAAAACAAGCACUGUUCAGAAAAGAACCCUAGACCAGUCACAGCAGCCCCUUAAUGUUCUUAUGUCCUGCUCUCUUCGACAUCUGUUUCCCUUUACACAGGAGAUAAAUUCCUCCCAUACCACAUAGCAUUCCUUGAGAAGUGUUAUUACUUGCUGAAACAAGAAGUUCCCCAGAAGCACUGUGUGCCACUGCUGUCAAUCAGUCUUUAAGAGCUUUUUAGCAGCUAAUGGAUGGCGUGUUUGUUGCUGUUUCAUGGAACAUGAUGGCUGAAGUGUCACAGUAAGGGUCUGUGUAAAUAAUGCCCAGAUGGCAAUGUGGCUUGCAGGCAAGACUGAGGAUUGUGUCGCUGAAUGGAGUGGGAGGACUGCUGGUGGAAGAACACCUGAAAAUGAGUGGACCUGCCAGAUGCUUUCACACAUAUUCACAUGAUGCCAUCCAUACCUGCACAUAAAAUAGUGGCAAGUUGUUUUAAAGUUUGGAAUGUGUUUUUCACUGUUCCUCUUGAGAGUGUCUGUGUGGUGUGAGGCAAUGCUGUGUGGUAACACCCACCCACACUGUCACCCAGACACUGGCAGCCUCGUUGUUACUCUGGCAUGGGACACUGCUCUGUCACUGGCUCUGCCAAUGCACAAAUCGGAUGAAAUAUUGGCCUUUUUAUGCCAACACAACACAAAAAUCCCCGCUGAUGUUAAAGGUCAUUGUCUCAUGCUGCCUCCAGACAGAGCUGUCUUUGUGCUGGAAGACAAAGGAGUAACACAGGGUAGUGGCCGUGGAGAAAAAUAAUUUGCAGCAUUCCUCUUUAUUUUCAGACUUUGGAGAUUUGUAUGAGGAAUUAAUUCUGUGGGGUUUGCACUUUUAAAUCAAUAAUGAAGCCAAAGACCUGUCACGGUGAGCAGGAACAGAUCGAUUUCUGGGUGUCAAAGGCCAUGUUACUGGUGAUGUGCAAGACUUCUUCCAGCGUUGCCACAACAGACACCUUCACAGGAGCCCAGCUGCCUGUGAAGUAAGGUGCUGUCAUUGUUCAGAAAUGCACCAUCUCUGGUUAAAAUUAGUUAUAAACCAGUUCAGUCUGAGUAGUCAGCACCAUGGUUCUGUGCAGCUCGGGGGCAGUGGACUUGUAUUUUAUUUCUGCGCUUAUGAGGCAUUUUACUGAGCACUCAGGUGAGUGAAAGGAGCUAGUGAUUCCCACCGGAGUAAUGCAGAAAUAAAUGUGAUUUUGGAAGAUGGACAGGUGUCCCUGCUUUUCUCUGUGCUGUUCAGAAAUUUCUGCCUACUGAGACUGCUGCUUGCCAUAGUUUGCAAAACAUAUUUUUUGCAGAACGCCUCAGACUGACCAGGCAACAAAGUCUAAUAAGCCUUAACUAUAAAGUUUGUUUAAAUUGCUGCUUGUCUACUGUGAAUCAGAGGUGGUUCCUGUUUAAUUGUUAAUCUGAGAACAAAAUUAGCUGAUGUUUUACAAACUAAUGCUUUAUUCACUCAAAGUAUUUUGUAAAUUGUUAAACAAUGGAAAGGUGACAAGGUAUUUUUAUUUGUGACAUAUUUUAUUUUAUCUUUGUGAUUUCCUACAUGAAGGUUAGGUUCCUAUUGUGUCUAAAAUAAAAGCACAGACAGUUCCAAUGGGCCUUUUUAGUUUUGUUUUAAAAAUUGCCAGUGUGUUAGUAUGCAAGGUGGCUGAGGUAGUAUGGCAGAAGUUUUUGUUACAAUGUGAUGCAAAAAGUUGAUUUACCCCAGCUCUCAUAGUGCAGCUUUUAAACAAACAACAUCAAACUACCACAAUCAAGGUUAAACAUCUAAUGCAUCCUUGACAAUUACAAGAAAAGCUGCAAAAAUAGGUAGGAUUAAGAGCAGCGCAAUUAGUGGCCUGGCACAGUACCCUUGCAGGGAGCACUGCACACUGCAGUGGGAGAGGGAAGAUUUUUGCUUUUUGGGUUCAUUUCAUCCUGUUGGGGUUUU